CCAAUAAGUCACAUCUGGAGCUUUUCUAGCACCAGCUCCUUCAUGGGAAGCAAGGAGGUGGGAUGGAAUUCGGACCCGGGGCCACUUGCACUUAUUGUAGAGUUCUGGCCCUCUUCAACUAAGUCUCAGUUUUCUCAUCUGUAAGGGGACUUAUUAAGAUGAUAGUUUCUUCAUAUGUCUGUUCUGAGGAUUCAAUGAGUCCGUAUUGCAGUGUUCGGCACAGCAUCUAUGAGCCCCAGGCUGGACUUCACCCAGCCUAGUCCUUGUCUCUCAGGGGAACCCAGGGAGGAGCAGUGGGUAGGACUUGACUCCUGGAGAAUCAAUUCUAAAGGAGUUAGGAGUGGCAUUCUGUUCCAGGUGAAACCCAUUGGUAGAAGCAACACAAAAGCCAGCCAACGUUUUCUAGGUACUUUGAAUUGACAAAGUAUUGAGACAUCAGACAUUCCCAGACGGCCAAACCAUAAGACAUGUGGUACUGCUCCAGGAUGUGCCAGAGCUGGGUUGCAGGUCAUUGACAAGGUGAAUAGCAAUGUCAGAGCAAUUCUGUCUACUGAUUGAAGUUCCUAGCUGUAGGGACUAAGUGGCAAGCUAUUGCCUAGACCAGCUGAUCUGAGCUGUACCAUGCACUGCUGACUCUGUGCACAAGUUGCCCUCUCAGUGAAAUUAGAGGACGGGACCAAAUGUGGCACUCCUGUGCCACGAGUGUUUGGAAGCCCACCGCCUGUAGAUGGAUGCCCUUCGGAUUCUUGCUCUGUGAACUCAGCCUCCACCAUCUGCUAUUCUGGUAUUUGCUGGGCUACACGUUUAGGAUCUAGGGUAUUGGUCUUUACCUCAUCACUAUCUUUUCCACUCACUUGUUUUAGAACUUGCUGUGUGCCAGGCCCUGUUCCUGGUGCUCUUGCAAUAUUAAUGAACUUUAACUUUACAAUGAUGGGUAUGCAUCAUACCCAUUUUGGAGGCAGGAACAUGGAGGCACUGGCAAAUGAAAUAAUUUGCUCAAGGCCAGUUAUCUAGGGAGGGGCAGAGCAGGAUUCAGUCUCUGGGCAAUGGGGCUCUAGAGUUGUGAUCACCACCCUGUGCCAUCUCUGGGCAAAAAGUUGAAAGUGUAAUGAUCAAAUGAAGUCAGGCAGUCAUAACAUAUGCAAGA